UACGUAGGGUGCAAGCGUUAAUCGGAAUUACUGGGCGUAAAGCGUGCGCAGGCGGUGAUGUAAGACAGAUGUGAAAUCCCCGGGCUCAACCUGGGAACUGCAUUUGUGACUGCAUCGCUGGAGUGCGGCAGAGGGGGAUGGAAUUCCGCGUGUAGCAGUGAAAUGCGUAGAUAUGCGGAGGAACGCCGAUGGCGAAGGCAAUCCCCUGGGCCUGCACUGACGCUCAUGCACGAAAGCGUGGGGAACAAACAGG
rnacentral:rRNA from 1 species